ensembl:misc_RNA Metazoa_SRP Metazoan signal recognition particle RNA
GCCGGGCAUGGUGGCUCAUGCCUGUAAUCCCAGCACUUUGGGAGGCCGAGGCGGGUGGAUCACCUGAGGUCAGGAGUUUGAGACCAGCCUGGCCAACAUGGUGAAACCCCGUCUCUA